UGCCUCAUACAGGGGGAGUAACGGUUAGAAAUGGCUGCUAAUACCGCAUAAGCGCACGGUACUGCAUGGUACAGUGUGAAAAACUCCGGUGGUAUGAGAUGGACCCGCGUUGGAUUAGCUAGUUGGCAGGGUAACGGCCUACCAAGGCGACGAUCCAUAGCCGGCCUGAGAGGGUGGACGGCCACAUUGGGACUGAGACACGGUCCAGACUCCUACGGGAGGCAGCAGC
rnacentral:rRNA from 1 species